rnacentral:rRNA from 1 species
UACGUAGGGUGCGAGCGUUGUCCGGAAUUACUGGGCGUAAAGGGCUCGUAGGCGGCCAACUAAGUCAGCCGUGAAAUCCCUCGGCUUAACCGGGGAACUGCGUCUGAUACUGGAUGGCUUGAGAUUGGGAGAGGGAUGCGGAAUUCCAGGUGUAGCGGUGAAAUGCGCAGAUAUCGGGAAGAACACCCGUGGCGAAGGCGGCUCUCUGGGACGGUACUGACGCUGAGACGCGAAAGCGUGGGGAGCGAACAGG